GUAUUUGGACCUGGAUCUGUCCUUGUGCUUGAAGCUGGGAAGCAGAAACAAGAGUCUAAGCAGUAAGGAAUCAGGAUCAGGUACAGACAAAGAAGUGUUUUGGUGAGCGAUAAACUUGGUUGUAUGAGUUAACAAGGUCACUAACAAGAUCCCAAUUGGGUGUGUGCACUGGUGACAUAAUGGCAAGAUUUGAAGGACGCUCCAGUAACUGCUUCACUGCCUGGAAAAGAAGAAGCAGGAUGGUCUUCUGUUGGCUACCCUUUCGAUGCAUUUUCAACAUUCUUGGAGUCGCUCGGUGAAAAAGUGACUGAGGAAUAGCCACUUCUCCAUGCCGAUGUUUAUUCCUCCUACCUGCAGCUAUCAGUGGAAAGAGAGGAUCUUUUCAGUGAAAGGAUGGAUGGAACUUGGUUAAAGCAAAAAAUCCAUAACAAAAAAAUGACUAUAUCAGUCAUCUGACUCUACUAGAGAACUGUUCACAAUACUGUGUCUUGCAUGUAAAAAGGUGUCUACCUUCAUUUUAUUGUCAGCUCUGAAUAAAUGUAAUAAGACCAGUGAUUUCUAACUUAACUCUUCCAUCAUAAUAGCUUUGACUUCCUUUAAAUAUUACUAAACCACAGCUACUAUA